UACGGGGGGGGCAAGCGUUGUUCGGAAUUACUGGGCGUAAAGGGCUCGUAGGUGGCCAACUAAGUCGGACGUGAAAUCCCUCAGCUUAACUGGGGAACUGCGUCCGAUACUGGAUGGCUUGAGUUUGGGAGAGGGAUGCGGAAUUCCAGGUGUAGCGGUGAAAUGCGUAGAUAUCGAGAGGAACACCUGCGGCGAAGGCGGGUUGCUGGGCUGACACUGACGCUGAGGCGCGAAAGCCAGGGGAGCGAACGGG
rnacentral:rRNA from 1 species